CUGAUAUGUAAGACAAGAUACAUAAUUUACCCGGAAAAAAUAGUUAUAAUCCAAGCAUAUAAUUAUAAUAUAUAUAGAUUUAACUCAGUUUCAUGAUCUUGAGAGUCAGAUAAGAGUAACGGGGUCACCCUGCCCAUGAGUACAAUGAUAAUGUAUCCAUGCAUAUUCGUUGAGUUAGAUAUAUUAGGUAAUAUUAUGCAAUGAAUAAAUAAGUAAUUAUGGAGACAUUGGGAAAAUGUAACAGUAAAUACAUAAUACUACCUAAAGAUAUAUUAGGUAAUAUUAUGUAUGUAAUGUUACAUUUUUUUCCAGUAGCUCCAUAACUGCUUAUUUAUCCAUACCAUACUGUAACACUAUCAGUUAUUCUGUCAUUCCCAACUUCCAAAAUUAUUUGUGCUUUCCAUCUUGACUACUCUAGCAUAACACUAGAGGCGGUUAGCAUGGAGAAGAAAAGGCAAAAAAAUUGAAAGUUGAGAAGAAAGGUUCUUAGAGCGACCAGCAAACCAUCAUGUCUAUGCAUGUUUCAAACUUUAAAGGGAUGGUAAAUACCAGAUCUAUUUGACAAGAAUAACUGUCAAAUUCUGGAGGCAGUGAGGAAAGAGGCUCCUUAAAACUCAUGGCAAAAAUGGCAGUUUCCACCU
rnacentral:lncRNA from 1 species